rnacentral:misc_RNA from 1 species
AACCUGCAGUGAAAGCUGCAAAGACAUUGGAGAUGCAAAUUCACCCAAUCAAUCUCCAUACAGAUUGAAAAUGUUAUAUAAUCGAGUCACAGAAGAAAACUUGCAAGGGCAUGAAGGUGAAUGAAAGAAAUGCUAUAUGCGAGCAACAUGGGAUAUUGCAAUACCAAAAAGCUUUCAAUUCAUAAAUUUAGUGGGCUUAAUAUAGCAAAACAAGAGAAAAUCAAGUAAAAUAGAGCAUAAGAAAAAGUAUAUAUUACCUUCCCUAUCACUG